rnacentral:rRNA from 1 species
AUAGCGUAUAUUAAAGUUGUUGCAGUUAAAAAGCCCGUAGUUGAACUUCAGAUUUGGUUGGGUGGUCCGCUUAACAGCGUGUACUGUCUGACUGAACCUUACCUCUUGGUGAGCUGGUGUGCCCUUUAUUGGUGUGCACCAGGGAACCAGGACUUUUACCUUGAGAAAAUUAGAGUGUUCAAAGCAGGCACUUGCCUGAAUACAUUAGCAUGGAAUAAUGGAAUAGGACGUGUGGUUCUAUUUUGUUGGUUUCUAGAGUCACCGUAAUGAUUAAUAGGGAUAGUUGGGGGCAUUGGUAUUGAGUCGCUAGAGGUGAAAUUCUUGGAUUGACUCAAGACCAACUAGUG